rnacentral:rRNA from 1 species
GACAGAGGGUGCAAACGUUGCUCGGAAUCACUGAACGUAAAGGACGUGUAAACGGGAAUGUAAGUCGGGCGUGAAAUCCCUAGGCUCAACCUAGGAACUGCACUCGAAACUGCGUUUCUUGAGUAUCGGAGAGGAAAGCGGAAUACCUGGUGUAGAGGUGAGAUUCGUAGAUAUCAGGUGGAACACCAGUAACGAAGGCGGCUUUCUGGACGAUAACUGACGCUGAGACGCGAAAGCGUGGGGAGCAAACAGG